rnacentral:rRNA from 1 species
CGGAGAUAGCUGGUUCUCCUCGAAAUAGCUUUAGGGCUAGCCUCAUACGAGUCUUGCGGAGGUAGAGCACUGAAUUCUUAAGGGGGCGUCAAAGCUUACUAAGAGAUAUCAAACUCCGAAUGCCGCGUAGAUGAUGUAUGGGAGUCAGACUGCACGAGAUAAGUUGGGUAGUCAAAAGGGAAAGAGCCCAGACCUACAGCUAAGGUCCCAAAAUGUGUGUUAAGUGGAAAAGGAUGUGGGAUUUCGAAGACAACUAGGAUGUUGGCUCAGAAGCAGCCAUCCAUUAAAAGAGUGCGUAAUAGCUCACUAGUCGAGAGGUCCUGCGCCGAAAAUGUCCGGGGCUGAAACACACUACCGAAGCUUAGGAAUUAACGAAUGUUAAUUGGUAGAGGAGCAUUCUUAAAGAGACGAAGCUGUACCGAAAGGAGCAGUGGAUUUUUAAGAAGAGAGAAUGCCGGAAUGAGUAGCGAGAGGAAGGUGAGAAUCCUUCCGGCCGAAUAUCUAAGGUUUCCAGCGUAAAGCUGAUCUGCGCUGGGUAAGUCGGGGCCUAAGGCGAGGUCGAAAGACGUAGUCGAUGGAUAACAGGUUGAAAUUCCUGUACUAUGAUAUAACAGAACUGUGGGGACGCAGGGAGAGAGCGCGAGCCGGGAACGGAAAGCCCGGCGCAAGCGAGGUACCGGUCUGUCAGGAAAAUCCGGCAGACAACGGGAAGACGUGAUGCGGACCGAAAAAGAGUAGGGAAGAGCGUGAGCUAACUGCCAAGAAAAGCCGCUAUUGUUUAUAUCAUACCCGUACCGUAAACCGACACAGGUGGAUGAGGAGAGAAUCCUAAGGCCGACGGGAGAAGCAUUGUUAAGGAACUCGGCAAAAUGACUCCGUAACUUCGGGAGAAGGAGUGCCAUGCGAAUGGCCGCAGAGAAUUGGCCCAAGCAACUGUUUAGCAAAAACACAGGUCUAUGCAAAACCGAAAGGUGAGGUAUAUGGGCUGACGCCUGCCCGGUGCUGGAAGGUUAAGGGGAGAGGUUAGCGCAAGCGAAGCUUUGAACUUAAGCCCCAGUAAACGGCGGCCGUAACUAUAACGGUCCUAAGGUAGCGAAAUUCCUUGUCGGGUAAGUUCCGACCCGCACGAAAGGCGUAAUGAUUUGGGCACUGUCUCAACAAUGCACCCGGUGAAAUUGAAAUACCAGUGAAGAUGCUGGUUACCUGCGCCAGGACGGAAAGACCCCAUGGAGCUUUACUCCAGCUUGAUACUGGGAUUCGAUAUUGCAUGUACAGGAUAGGUGGGAGACUAGGAGACGGUAACGCCAGUUGCCGUGGAGUCGAUGUUGGGAUACCACCCUUGCAGUAUUGGGUUUCUAACCAGCAGCCGUGAUCCGGCUGGGGGACAAUGUCAGGUGGGGAGUUUGACUGGGGCGGUCGCCUCCGAAAGGGUAUCGGAGGCGCUCAAAGGUUCCCUCAGAAUGGUUGGAAACCAUUCGAAGAGUGCAAAGGCAGAAGGGAGCUUGACUGCGACACCGACGGGUGGAGCAGGUACGAAAGUAGGACUUAGUGAUCCGGUGGUAUAAAGUGGGAUUGCCAUCGCUCAACGGAUAAAAGCUACCCUGGGGAUAACAGGCUUAUCACUCCCAAGAGUUCACAUCGACGGAGUGGUUUGGCACCUCGAUGUCGGCUCAUCGCAUCCUGGGGCUGAAGUAGGUCCCAAGGGUUGGGCUGUUCGCCCAUUAAAGCGGUACGCGAGCUGGGUUCAGAACGUCGUGAGACAGUUCGGUCCCUAUCCGGCGUGGGCGUAGGAUAUUUGAGAGGAGCUGUCCUUAGUACGAGAGGACCGGGAUGGACUGGCCGCUGGUGUACCUGUUGCAUCGCCAGAUGCAUGGCAGGGUAGCCAAGCCGGGAAGGGAUAAACGCUGAAGGCAUCUAAGCGUGAAGCCCCCCUCAAGAUAAGAUAUCCCAUAACGUCAAGUUAGUAAGACCCCUUGAAGACGACGAGGUAGAUAGGGCAGAGGUGGAAGUGUGGUAACACAUGGAGCUGACUGUUACUAAUAGGUCGAGGGCAUAACCAG